UCAAAUUCCCAUUCAAACAACUGCCCCCAAGGCACUUAUAAAAAAGUUAAUUAAUAAAUUUUUCUUAAUUAGUCGUCUGAAGCUCACGUUAUUAGUGGC
rnacentral:lncRNA from 1 species